rnacentral:rRNA from 1 species
GAUGCAGGCUGCAACUCGCCUGCAUGAAGUCGGAAUUGCUAGUAAUCGCGCAUCAGCCAUGGCGCGGUGAAUACGUUCCCGGGCCUUGUACACACCGCCCGUCAAGCCAUGGGAGCCGGGGGCGCCUGAAGUCCGGGACCGCGAGGACCGGCCUAGGGCGAAACUGGUGACUGGGGCUAAGUCGUAACAAGGUACC